UUUGGCCCUGACUCUGAAUGUGGUUUUGACUAUUAAACAGGUAUGUGACCUUAGAAAGACUGACAGUAGAUACCAAACAUUUCAGACUUACUUAUUUUUCUUUUGGCCUCCUACCAUAAUACACUCCAGAAACAAAAAGGUUUUGGCCCAGUCAGUCUCACUGCUGUGCCUCCGCAUGAGCCAAGAGGACACAUUAACGCAGACACCUGGCCCCACACUUACUCUGGCUUGGCCAGAUCUUGUGCCUCACCCUGCUUGUGCUGGAAAUACAAUCCAAUUGUUUUCAGAGGCUGGACAGUCCUCUUUCUCCAGUUCUCUUGGAAUGGCAGAUGACACUUAAACACCUAUCAAAAGAAGCUUAACCAAUUCAAGCAAAAUAAAGUCUACAGGCCACAUUCUGGGAGCUGCCUGCUGGUGUAUCAUCUGUCAUCAGAGCAAUGAAACCUGCAGCCCGACCGUCUGUUGGCGCUCAGUCAUUCUGUCAGCAUUGCCUGCUGCAGCUGCAUGCAAGCAAGACGUUCCUGCCCGCUUGGCGCUCCGCAGGGCUCAAAGAAUCAUGCAGCACCAAGGCAUGAGACGAAUUCUAAUUAACCCCCUGAAGAGGGAACCAAACGAAAGCUAGAAGAUGUUUGUUUUCAUGUGGAAGCUUUUUUUUCUUUUCAAGAGAAAUUACACAGCUAUGAAUUAAUAUUGGUUAACAAUGAUAACAUAGAAUUUCAAGUGUUUACUCUUUGUACCUAAAGAGUGACUGAAAAUGGUUCCAGUUCAAUUGUAACCUGAAAAACUGUUUUUUGUUUACAAGUGACCUUAUUCAAAAUAGGUAGAGUUUAAGGAACUGGUUUUAUUAUUUCUUAAAAGCUCGCAGAUACUAUUUUAACUAUUUUUACACAUAAAAUGAAUCAUAUCUCUUCAGUUCUCUGGUGAAUUAAACAUUAUGUUCAGUAUUAUCAUGACAUUAUAUGGAACGCUAAUGAGUACAGGUACCUGGGUUGGAAUGUACUGUAGAUUUACCAAUCAGUGAAAAAUUAGAUAUGAGUCAUACUGUACAGUAUGUCUUUCUUCUUUGCUUGCAUUUUUAAAUAUACUUACAUGCAUUAUACCUUUUAGGUUAUGGUGUAUCUAGAUAGGAUGCUGCAUUAACUAUUUCACAAAUACAGUACUUUGUUAAAGGCACACAACUCAUUGUUUAGUGUGGACCCAAGUCCCUAAGUAUUUUUAUAAGGUUUGACCCCAAGCUUCUCUCUCCCUGCCUGUGUGUCUCAUGGAGAGUAAGCUGGGGUUUGCAAAAAGACAAAUUCC